rnacentral:rRNA from 1 species
AAAUUGAAGAGUUUGAUCAUGGCUCAGAUUGAACGCUGGCGGCAGGCCUAACACAUGCAAGUCGAACGGUAACAGGAAGCAGCUUGCUGCUUUGCUGACGAGUGGCGGACGGGUGAGUAAUGUCUGGGAAACUGCCUGAUGGAGGGGGAUAACUACUGGAAACGGUGGCUCGGUGGCU